AGCCGCGGUAACACCGGCGGCCCGAGUGGUGAUCGUGAUUAUUGGGUCUAAAGGGUCCGUAGCCGGUUGGUCAGUCCUCCGGGAAAUCUGAUAGCUCAACUAUUAGGCUUUCGGGGGAUACUGCCAGACUUGGAACCGGGAGAGGUAAGAGGUACUACAGGGGUAGGAGUGAAAUCUUGUAAUCCCUGUGGGACCACCUGUGGCGAAGGCGUCUUACCAGAACGGGUUCGACGGUGAGGGACGAAAGCUGGGGGCACGAACCGGAUUAGAUACCCGGGUAGUCCCAGCCGUAAACGAUGCUCGCUAGGUGUCAGGCAUGGCGCGACCGUGUCUGGUGCCGCAGGGAAGCCGUGAAGCGAGCCACCUGGGAAGUACGGCCGCAAGGCUGAAACUUAAAGGAAUUGGCGGGGGAGCACAACAACGGGUGGAAGCCUGCGGUUUAAUUGGACUCAACGCCGGACAACUCACCGGGGGCGACAGCAAUAUGUAGGCCAAGCUGAAGACUUUGCCUGAAUCGCUGAGGGGUGGUGCAUGG
rnacentral:rRNA from 1 species